ACGCUGCCAGAGAACAAGAGUCACACUGAAACAUGAUGGACAUCAGAUCUGAACUGUUGUUUUUUAUCAUCUGCUUUACAGGUGUUGAUGGUCAGACUCUGACAGAGUCUGAAUCAGUGGUUAAAAGACCAGGAGAAUCUCACAAAUUAACCUGUACAGCCUCUGGAUUCACAUUCAGCAACCACUGGAUCGCCUGGAUCAGACAGGCUCCUGGAAAAGGGCCUGAGUGGGUUUCUGCACUUGAUGGUGGCAGUGGUAGCAGCAAAUACUACUCUCCAUCAGUCAGAGGCCGGUUUACCAUCUCCAGAGACAACAGCAAGCAGCAGGUCUAUCUGCAGAUGAACAGUCUGAAUACAGAAGAUUCUGCUGUUUAUUACUGCGCUUGA